GAACGAACGCUGGCGGCAUGCCUAACACAUGCAAGUCGAACGAGACCUUCGGGUCUAGUGGCGCACGGGUGCGUAACGCGUGGGAACCUGCCCUUAGGUUCGGAAUAACUCCCCGAAAGGGGUGCUAAUACCGGAUAAUGUCUUCGGACCAAAGAUUUAUCGCCUUUGGAUGGGCCCGCGUUGGAUUAGCUAGUUGGUAGGGUAAAAGCCUACCAAGGCGACGAUCCAUAGCUGGUCUGAGAGGAUGAUCAGCCACACUGGGACUGAGACACGGCCCAGACUCCUACGGGAGGCAGCAGUGGGGAAUAUUGGACGAUGGGCGAAAGCCUGAUCCAGCAAUGCCGCGUGAGUGAUGAAGGCCUUAGGGUUGUAAAGCUCUUUUACCCGGGAUGAUAAUGACAGUACCGGGAGAAUAAGCUCCGGCUAACUCCGUG
rnacentral:rRNA from 1 species